UGCGAGUGAAACGAGAUUAGCCCAACAUCGAAGCCUCUUUGCUCUUGUGAAGAAGGCAAUGUGAUGUUAAGGCAUUUAAAUUCACAGACUGGCUAACUUGAAGUCCAUAUUUGACUGUGGCUUAUGCGUAUGCACCCAGAGAAGGUGAAAGGCCCGUUCAGGUUGGUAUUCCGAUAUGACAGUUCUGUGUAUAUUUAUUUGCCCUGGAGUCGGAUUGCUUGAGAGUGCAGUCCAAAACUGGUGGUAAACUCCAUCUAAGGCUAAAUACCUGUACGAAUCCGAUAGUCGACAAGUACCGUGAGGGAAAGUUGAAAA
rnacentral:rRNA from 1 species